AACGAACGCUGGCGGCAGGCUUAACACAUGCAAGUCGAGCGCCGUAGCAAUACGGAGCGGCAGACGGGUGAGUAACGCGUGGGAACAUACCCUCCGGUUCGGAAUAACUCAGGGAAACUUGAGCUAAUACCGGAUACGGUCGAGAGGCGAAAGAUUUAUCGCCGGAGGAUUGGCCCGCGUCCGAUUAGCUAGUUGGUGUGGUAACGGCGCACCAAGGCGACGAUCGGUAGCUGGUCUGAGAGGAUGAUCAGCCACAUUGGGACUGAGACACGGCCCA
rnacentral:rRNA from 1 species